GGGAAUUAAGAGGUUGACUUUUUCACAAUAUUAGAGGAUCCCAAAGAAGAAAUGACUAGUGAACAUAUACGUACAUGCCUCAGCGUACUUUGUAAGCGGAUGACAUAGCCGAAAUCAAAGCUGUACAUUACCCAUGCAUGCGUGGUUGACACGAUAUUCUUCGACACUAUCCAUAUGCUACACACCUCAUUUCCAACUGAAGAUGCCCGAUCGACUAUGGUAAUUCCCGAUGAGUUAAAGGCAUAUGUGGAGGGUGAGAAGCUGACAUACGGGAAAAAAUGGGAAGAUGUCGAUUUCAUCCUUGCACCUUGCAAUGUUGGUGGGCAUUGGGUGGUAGCGAAGAUCGACUUGGUGAGGUGGACGAUCAAGGUGGUGGACUCCGCAAGAACUUUGGAUGCUAAGGAUAACGGAGUGCAAGCGGCUCAGAUGACACCCCUUAGGACAUUUAUGCCAAUCAUCUACCACCAAGCCAGUUAUUUCACAAAACACGCCUGAAGACAUGAGAUUUGACGCCGAUGCCAUUGGACAUUCAUUUGUCAAAAGCUAAAGUGCAUCGGCAGGGUAAUAGUGUCAGUUGCGGUAUGUUCAUGAUAAGCUACAUUAACGAUAUCUUGCAAUCAGAAUCGAUCAGAGUUAAGCAAAAUAUGAUUGCAAAUAUGCGUCGCCAAUACGCUUUAGAAAUUUUUUCCAACAGUUGUGAGAGCGAAGCUUGAACAUAUCGACCCUUGUCUAUACAUUUUUUGUAUAUACAAUUAAUUUUAUUAAUUUUGAUAUUCGUUCAUUUUAUA